rnacentral:lncRNA from 1 species
AUAGUUCCGGAUAUUCUUGGACCAUCGUUCACAAGUUUUUCUGUUUACGCUCCUGGCGUUUCAUUCAGCGGUCACUUCAGGUAGAACAAUUUGAUUGAAAGCUCUAACCCUGCGGCCAGAAGGUGGAACUACUGUGCCUUUGCAGAAACUCUACAUGAAGCUUAUCCACGAAUGGUAUGGAAAGAAAAGGAACUUCAGCAGCUUGGAUGGAUUGGGUUCAUGCGUUCAGUCAGCAGCUCAAGAAAGACCCGGAAAUUGCGAAUUAAACCACGUUUUGCACUGACCUCUAACACUUCUGAACAAACAACUGAUAUCUCGUGCGCUGAAGCACAGCGUGAG